CGCAACGCCAUGAACUAGGCCUACUGGAGUGAAAUGAUCGAAUGCUUUAAUCAGAUUGCUGAAGACUCAGAGUGCCGUGUGGUGGUGUUCUCGGGUGCAGGGAAAAUCUUCACUGCAGGCACGGAUGCUGAUCACAGAGGAGAGCCUGAUGACCACGAUCGUCCGCACACUCCAUGAUCACCUGAGACAUCCAGACCAGCAGGGACGAUUUCAGUUUGAACUCUACAGUGCACAAAAGGUCUUUAAAUUCCGCAGGGUCCAGAGUCUUAUAGAAGACCUCAAAUAUGUCCUGAUUAGCCGUCCAACAGAGUGGACCGACAAGCUCAGGGAGAAGUUUCUGGAAGGACUUGAUGCUUUCUUGGAGCUGCUCAAGUGCAUGCAGGUAUGGACCCACACACAUUCUCAGUGAUGCAAGAGUGGUGUGCCAGUGAUGUGAGUACUAACACACUCACCAGUACUAGUAUAUUACAAUAUGUGCACACUCUACAGGAGUUCUGGUAGUGCGACCAUAGCAGCAAAUGCACAUAUUAUUCCUGCACAAACUAAAACCAACAAGAUCUGUCUGAAGAUCACAGGACUUUUGUCUUUGUCAUGUCUUUGAGGUGUAUGGAAAUGAUUGGCUCCGAGUAGGGAUUUCUUGAAGGUCAAAGUUCUACAUGUGGUUGUAAAUUUAAAUCUAUAUAUGGAAGCCUUCA